UACGUAGGGGGCAAGCGUUGUCCGGAAUUACUGGGCGUAAAGGGCGCGUAGGCGGCCUGCUAAGUCGAACGUGAAAUCCCUGGGCUCAACCCAGGAACUGCGUCCGAUACUGGUUGGCUUGAAUCCGGGAGAGGGAUGCGGAAUUCCAGGUGUAGCGGUGAAAUGCGUAGAUAUCUGGAGGAACACCGGUGGCGAAGGCGGCAUCCUGGACCGGCAUUGACGCUGAGGCGCGAAAGCCAGGGGAGCAAACAGG
rnacentral:rRNA from 1 species